GAUGAACGCUAGCGGCAGGCCUAACACAUGCAAGUCGAGGGAGGAGCUUUCGGGCUUCGACCGGCGUACGGGUGCGUAACGCGUAUACAAUCUGCCUUUCACAUAGGGAUAGCCCGAAGAAAUUUGGAUUAAUACCUAAUGGUAUAUAGAGGUGGCAUCACCUUUAUAUUAAAGCUGAGGCGGUGAAAGAUGAGUAUGCGUUCUAUUAGCUAGUUGGAGAGGUAACGGCUCCCCAAGGCGACGAUAGAUAGGGGUUCUGAGAGGGAUAUCCCCCACACUGGUACUGAGAUACGGACCAGACUCCUACGGGAGGCAGCAGUGAGGAAUAUUGGACAAUGGUCGGAAGACUGAUCCAGCCAUGCCGCGUGCAGGAAGACGGCCUUAUGGGUUGUAAACUGCUUUUGCAGGGGAAGAAUAAGGACUACGCGUAGUUUGGUGACGGUACUCUGCGAAUAAGCAUCGGCUAACUCCGU
rnacentral:rRNA from 1 species